rnacentral:ncRNA from 1 species
UUUGGUUUCUUGCUUUCCCAAAGAGCAAGUGGUGCGGAUGGAGGAAACUCCCGCCAGGUUUCUUGUUUCCUGUAAAAGAAUAAGUGGCGUGCAUGGCA